AGUAACGCGUGAGGAACCUGCCUCAAAGAGGGGGACAACAGUUGGAAACGACUGCUAAUACCGCAUAAGCCCACGGCUCGGCAUCGAGCAGAGGGGAAAGGAGUGAUCCACUUUGAGAUGGCCUCGCGUCCGAUUAGCUAGUUGGUGAGGUAACGGCCCACCAAGGCGACGAUCGGUAGCCGGGCUGAGAGGUUGAACGGCCACAUUGGGACUGAGACACGGCCCAG
rnacentral:rRNA from 1 species